rnacentral:lncRNA from 10 species
GCGCCUGCCUUGCCCGGUCCGCCCUGUCUUCCAGCAGGGCGGGGCCCGGCUCCGGUUGUUCCGCCACGUUUGAGCGGGCGAGCCCGGCGGCCGGGAGACGCCAGGGAACGGGGCUGGUGGGGGUACAAAGGCUCGGUUCCGUCGCCUUCAGCCCUGCGGUGGGGGCACGGGGCAAGUGAGGGGACGGCAGAGGCGGCGUUCGGUGUGAGGCUGCGCCCUGGGCUCCUGAAAAUCCAGGGCUGCAGUCAUUUGAAGGCUUGACUGGGGCUGGAGGAUUUUCAUCCAAGAUGGCUCACUCACCCAGCUGUUGGCAGGAGACCUCGGUUCUUUGACUUCUCCGUAAGACUGUGGACUGGGGACUAAAGGCAAUAGCUUGACUUCUGAAAAGGGCUGGACUGAAGGUCAGCCACAUGGGCAGUGUGAAGGAUCCCCAGCAAAACUCUGGACAUCAGUGGCUGGGCAAGCUUCUCUGGUUGGCGGUACUCUGCAUAUUGUCACACAUCAACUCUGGGAGAAGAUCAUACUGUUCAUGUCUCCACAAGGGGAGGACAGCUGGAAACUCAGUGUCUGGACCUCUUUCCUUGGCUGAUUUUAUUGUGUAUCCUUUCAUUACAAUAAGCUGUAGCCCUGAAUAUAACAGCUUUCAGUGGGCUCUGAGAGUCAUUUUAGUGAGUUAUCAAAACUAAGGGCAGUUUGGGAAUCCCCCUUACUCGUACUUGGUAUCAGAAGCAAGGAUGGCAACCUGUGGGGACUGGUCCCCCUAACCUACAUAGUUGGCCUCAACUCCUGCCAACUCUGUCUCUCUCUCAAACUAAACCCUAGAGUACCUUGUAAUUACUUACCCUUCUUUGAAGAAAGUUAUAUGCCUGAUUUCGUCCUUUUCUCAUUUCUCAUUUACACUUCAGCUAAUUGUGAUUAGACUUGUUCUCACUGUUCCACUCUAAAUGCUCUGACAGAGAUCAUGAAUAAUUGCCUGUUUGCAGCUCAGUCAUCUAUUUGGUAAUUAAACACAUUUUUAUUUAGUGUCACCACAAGUCAGGUAUAAUGUUGGGCCAUGAGAGUUCAGUGAUUACCAAAAUAAAAGCAUUCCUUGCCCUCACAGCACUUAUAGUCCAGUAGGGGGUUCAGGCAAGCCCUCAGAAAACAGCAUGCUAAGGUCUAUGUUAUGGGAAAUAGGGGAGCUAUGGCAGACUUCCUUGGGGCUGGGGGGGGUGGGUGGUCCCAGCCCCCUCUCCUUAGCAGUUGACACUAUUUUUUUUUUUUUUUUUUUUAGACGGAGUCUCACUCUGUUGCCAGGCUGGAGUGCAGUGGCACGAUCUCGGCUCACCACAACCUCUGCCACCUGGGUUCAAGCGAUUCUCCUGCCUCAGCCUCCUGAGUAGCUGGGAUUACAGCCUGAGUCGAAGCUGUUAAAGAGGCCAAGAAUUCCCAAGCUUUCCCAGGCAAACGGGGAAGAACACUGGGAUGCCUUUUCCUCCUCCUCUGUCCAUCUGCAGGCCAAGUGUGCAUCAGUCACAGGCAAACUCUGAAUUGAGCUUUGUGCAAGUCUCUGGAAAGAGACCCAAGAUCGUGUGAUGAGCAAAAGUGACAGUGCUGGAGGCAGCGACAUCUGCAGAGCCAGCCCCAUCCCUAUCUGCAGCAGAAUAUGUAUGGGGAUCCUUUAUGUGAACAAUCCACCCAGGGUAGAAUGGGGCUUUUGACAUCAGCUGAGACCCAGGCGGCCUUACAAUGAGAGGGCUGUUGGUCAAAGGAAGGACUGUUUAAUGAACUGAGAAUCUGAGGCCAGCUCUGGCCAUCUGCACUUGGAAUCAUUAGAGCAACUCUACUGUAACUGGCAACCUUGAAUAAUGCAGCAAAUUCAUAUUCCAAAAUUGUGAACUUUAAAAUUUUGUGUUUGUGUCUAUGAUGAAAAGCAUUAUAUAAACAUUUGAUACUACAAUUUUAUUAGUAAGGAAGGCUGAAAAAGUAUCUCUCUUUUGACUCUGAGGUCAAUAAUGAUAAUGGCUUUUCCCCUACACUGGGAUAGAAAUGUUCUGUCAAGGAUAUGAAAACACUUUAUGAAAAUGAAAUUCAUUAAAGCCCUUAAUAAUCAGGUAGGGAAGGCAGGUGCUCACAAUUGUCACCUGUUGGUGAGUGAACACCUUAGGCUCGGGGAGGACAAUGACUCAAGAACAAGGUCGAAUUGCAGGUGGGGGGUGAAGCUGAUCCCUAACAGUGUCCUCCAGCCCCUGGCACUGAGGAAGGACAUGGAGGGCUUGCAUCGACUUUUCCUGGCAGGCUUGUGAUUCCCAGCCAGAAUGCAGGUGGCAAUGUUGUGAUUCCUGGCGUAACCUUCAAUGCUUCAAUGAUAAUCUCUGCUGGUGCCAGGCACCAGCUGAGUGUCACUGUGCAGCUCCCAGGCUUAAGUGAUGCAUGCCGAGGUUUUCAGAGCAGUCUCUCAUUUAUUAGUUGUGUUGGAAAGAAAUCUGUACUACCUAACUGGGUACCUCUGGAUUUUAACAGCUGUGGUUUAUAAGAGAUAUGAGAGGGGGUUUGUUUUCAAAGUGCCUUUCACAAAGUAACACCUUAGACUGUAGUUUACAUUCCAUUCCAGUAGGAUAACUUGCAACACUUCUGUGCUCAGAAAUCCAACUGUGCAAGAAAAGUCAGGUUAUAUUUUCAUACAGCCCGUUCUGGCAAAUAUGCCUUCACACCACUUUCCCUCCUCCUCACCGCUAUUGGCAAUAGUCCCAAUGGAAGAGUUUUAUGUCAAAUGCUGAGUAUCUUGGAAGCUGUCCUGCACAGACACGACUGCUUGGCUGCGUGUUGGAGAGUCGCGGUUGGACUGGGAGACCAGGAAGGUCCCUUCUGGUCUGAGAUGUGAUGACUCUAGAACUAAUUAGUUUCAACUCAUAACACGAAAUGAUACUAGCUACCAUUUGGUGGGCUUUUUCUGUGUUCCAGGCUCUGUGCUAAGAUCUUAGCAUUACUCUAAUUACAAAAUCCCUGCCAAUAUUAUCCUCAGUUUACGCAAGAACAAAUGGGUUUAGGGAAAUCAAAAACUUGUCCAAUGACACAGAUUUAAGAUUUAGCAACUGAUGGCCACGUGGAAAUGGAUUACAGAUUAUUCUAAUUGGACACUCUAAACGUGCAAUUUAACCAGAAUGAAAUUUAGGGCUGCGUGCUGUGGCUCAUGCCUGUAAUCCUAGCACUUUGGGAAGCCAGGUGUAUCCCUUAAGCCCAGGAGUUUGAGAGCAACUUGGGCAACAUGGUGAAACCUGUAUCUACAAAAAAUACAAAAAUUAGCCAGGUGAGGUGGUGUAUGCCUGUAGUUCCAGCUACUUGGGAGGCUGAGAGAUGGGAGGAUUGGUUGAGCCUAGGAGGUCGAGGCUGCUGUGAGCUGUGAUGGUUCCACUGCACUCCAGCCUGGGCGACAGAGACAGACUCCAUCUCAAAAAAAAAAAAAAAAAAAGUAGCUACCUUGUGGUUGCACUCGUCUGAGACUAGCUCAUGGCUCCAGCUCUCAGGGUGGUGAGUAAUGAUUCUGUGGUCAGACGCAGUUUUGAAGUCAGGCAAGAAAACCUUCAACAAGAGUUAGAGAUGUCCUGUCUAUGAAUUUCUCCUCUAGGCUUAGGGAUAGCCCUGGGAUUCAUGUCAUGCCAGUUAGGGAUCCACUCAUUGUAAGCAAUACAAGUGCCCCCGAAGAGACAGUGCAUUAAUUGUCACCCCUUAGGAGCAUUGUGUGAAUUAGUGUGAUUUAGCACAUGCCCAGAGGGAUGAAACUCUAGCUCCAUAGGGUAGGUCCUGAUUACUCCUGGAGCAGGCAGCCAGCUCAGCUCAUGGGGAGCUCUGAGAAGUCUCUCAAUGCCUCGCAUGCAGCCCCUGCUCAGGAGUCAUGUGUCACUUCACAGUCUUGCUUUCCAGUGGGUCAAAGCAUGAUGUUUAUGAGAAACAAAUACACAAAAUUCUGACUUGUGUGAAUACAGAACACGUGCAAUAAAACGACUGCAAUCUAUUUUUAAAAUGUGGUCUGAGAAGUCAGGUUUAAUAUGACUAUGUAAUAUAUAAACAAUAUAUUUUCCACAGAAAGGAAAAUAUAAAUAAUAAAAUAUGUCUAUUUCUUUUUUUUGGUGGAAAAUUACUCCCACAAUUUGGUCCCAAGGGGGUCUUAAUUUGUCAUCAGGUCUGUGGCUAAAUGUCUUAUAAAGGAAUGCUUCUUUCUUUCGAGAAGUGUACAGGAACAGUCUGCACUGACUGCUUUUACCUGUAAAUGUUUUGAGAAUUCAGAAGUCACUUUCCUUCCACAAUAGGUGCUAGGCAUUUUAUUUAAAUAAAGCAAAAACAUUUCUGUCAUAAAGAAGGUGUUAAUAACCUCAAAGCUAUGCGAAAUAUACUAGUACAAUCUAAUACUCAUGGUGAAAAAUACAGUAAUUAAGAGCAAUUCAAGUUUUUUUGUUUUGGUUUAACUUCAGAAUUAAAAUAAACUCAGAAUUAAAAAAAUAAAAAAUGGUUUUAUUACAUGUCAGAGUAUUGAGAUACAAAAUAUAUACCAGAU